rfam:Homo sapiens chromosome 17, GRCh38 reference primary assembly.
ACUAACAUCGGAAUGUGUUAAUAUGCUAAAAAAUUGGAAAGAUACAGAGAAGAUUAGCAUGGCCACUGUGCAAGGAUGACACACAAAAAAUAAUUGAAAAAAAAAAGU